AGUGAACGCUGGCGGUAGGCCUAACACAUGCAAGUCGAACGGCAGCACAGUAAGAGCUUGCUCUUACGGGUGGCGAGUGGCGGACGGGUGAGGAAUACAUCGGAAUCUACUUUUUCGUGGGGGAUAACGUAGGGAAACUUACGCUAAUACCGCAUACGACCUACGGGUGAAAGCAGGGGAUCUUCGGACCUUGCGCGAUUGAAUGAGCCGAUGUCGGAUUAGCUAGUUGGCGGGGUAAGGGCCCACCAAGGCGACGAUCCGUAGCUGGUCUGAGAGGAUGAUCAGCCACACGGGAACUGAGACACGGUCCAGACUCUUACGGGAGGCAGCAGUGGGGAAUAUUGGACAAUGGGGGCAAGCCUGAUCCAGCCAUACCGCGUGGGUGAAGAAGGCCUUCGGGUUGUAAAGCCCUUUUGUUGGGAAAGAAAAGCAGCAGGUUAAUACCCCGCUGUUCUGACGGUACCCAAAGAAUAAGCACCGGCUAACUUCGUG
rnacentral:rRNA from 1 species